ACUCCUACGGGAGGCAGCAGUGGGGAAUAUUGCACAAUGGGGAAACCCUGAUGCAGCCAUGCCGCGUGUGUGAAGAAGGCCUCGGUUGUAAAGCACUUUCAGUAGGGAGGAAGGUAGUGUAGUUAAUACCUGUCAUUAUUUGACGUUACCUACAGAAGAAGCACCGGCUAACUCCGUGCCAGCAGCCGCGGUAAUACGGAGGGGUGCGAGCGUUAAUCGGAAUUACUGGGCGUAAAGCGCAUGCAGGCGGCCUGUUAAGUCACGAUGUGAAAGCCCGGGGGCUUAACCUCGGAAUUAGCAUUUGAAACUGGCAGGCUAGAGUCUUGUAGUAGGGGGUA
rnacentral:rRNA from 1 species